rnacentral:rRNA from 1 species
UACGUAGGCAGCAAGCGUUGUUCGGAGUUACUGGGCGUAAAGGGUGCGUAGGCGGCCUUAUAAGUAUGGUGUGAAAUCUCCCGGCUUAACUGGGAGGGUGCGCUAUAGACUGUGGGGCUAGAGUGUGGGAGAGGAAAGUGGAAUUCCUGGUGUAGCGGUGAAAUGCGUAGAUAUCAGGAGGAACACCGGUGGUGUAAACGGCUUUCUGGACCAUAACUGACGCUGAGGCACGAAAGCGUGGGUAGCAAACAAG